AUUGAACGCUGGCGGCAUGCUUUACACAUGCAAGUCGAACGGCAGCACGGGGGCAGCCCUGGUGGCGAGUGGCGAACGGGUGAGUAAUACAUCGGAACGUGCCCGGUCGUGGGGGAUAACGUAGCGAAAGUUACGCUAAUACCGCAUACGAUCUGAGGAUGAAAGCGGGGGACCUUCGGACCUCGCGCGAUCGGAGCGGCCGAUGUCAGAUUAGGUAGUUGGUGGGGUAAAGGCCUACCAAGCCGACGAUCUGUAGCUGGUCUGAGAGGAUGACCAGCCACACUGGGACUGAGACACGGCCCAGACUCCUACGGGAGGCAGCAGUGGGGAAUUUUGGACAAUGGGCGCAAGCCUGAUCCAGCCAUGCCGCGUGUAGGACGAAGGUCUUCGGGUUGUAAACUGCUUUUGGACGGAACGAAAAGGCUCUGGCUAAUACCUGGGGCUCAUGACGGUACCGUAAGAAUAAGCACCGGCUAACUACGUG
rnacentral:rRNA from 1 species